GCGAACGGGAUUAGAUACCCUGGUAGUCCACGCCGUAAACGAUGUCGACUUGGAGGUUGUUCCCUUGAGGAGUGGCUUCCGGAGCUAACGCGUUAAGUCGACCGCCAGGGGAGUACGGCCGCAAGGUUAAAACUCAAAUGAAUUGACGGGGGCCCGCACAAGCGGUGGAGCAUGUGGUUUAAUUCGAUGCAACGCGAAGAACCUUACCUACUCUUGACAUCCAGAGAACUUAGCAGAGAUGCUUUGGUGCCUUCGGGAACUCUGAGACAGGUGCUGCAUGGCUGUCGUCAGCUCGUGUUGUGAAAUGUUGGGUUAAGUCCCGCAACGAGCGCAACCCUUAUCCUUUGUUGCCAGCGGUUAGGCCGGGAACUCAAAGGAGACUGCCAGUGAUAAACUGGAGGAAGGUGGGGAUGACGUCAAGUCAUCAUGGCCCUUACGAGUAGGGCUACACACGUGCUACAAUGGCGCAUACAAAGAGAAGCGACCUCGCGAGAGCAAGCGGACCUCAUAAAGUGCGUCGUAGUCCGGAUUGGAGUCUGCAACUCGACUCCAUGAAGUCGGAAUCGCUAGUAAUCGUAGAUCAGAAUGCUACGGUGAAUACGUUCCCGGGCCUUGUACACACCGCCCGUCACACCAUGGGAGUGGGUUGCAAAAGAAGUAGGUAGCUUAACCUUCGGGAGGGCGCUUACCACUUUGUGAUUCAUGACUGGG
rnacentral:rRNA from 1 species